CGGGAGAAUGAGCCCCCUGGAUUGAAGGCUUAACAAACAACUAGCGGAAUCAGGGCAGUGGCUCUGCGGGGAGACGCCGGGCUUCCCAGCCUAGCCCCCUCAUGUCUGGACGUGGCGGUUCCCUGCUGGGUGGGGACCUGUCCUGCACGGAGUGGUUGGGGAGCAGUGGCCAGGACACACGCUCUGCCCGUGGGCAGCCCCGCCCAGGUGCGCAGGCCACGCCUCGCCCCCCUCCAGCGACGGUGACCCAGCCCCCGCCCACUCCCGAGGGCGGGGCCACGCCAGAGGAGCCCAUCAACACUACCCCUCGACUUCAGCUGACAUGCAAACGGAAGCUUCUUGCUGAAGCAGGAGAAGGCACCUCCCUUCCCAGCAUGGACAGGCGGUCCCGGCCCUGCGCCCAGCCCCGCCCAGCUCCACCCAGUCCGGACCACCAAGGGCCCUGGCGGGGCCUCCAGACCCAAGCCCCUCUGGCCUUCCCAGAGAGUUCCAGACACUGAAGCCCAGCUGGGGAGGGGUCAGAAGGCCCCUCGAUGACGCCUGGAGCCUCUGAGGCCCUGGAGCUGAGGGAGGGCCUGACCCCACAGACGGCCGCUGCGAGCAGCUGAGCCCGGGACCUGGGAACAUGCGCCUUCCAGGUUUGGGAGCAGUGACGGAACUGAACGCACUGGAACCGCAGCAGAAGACGCUGUGUCCUCUCGGCCACAACACGUAAACUGGCAACAGGGAUGCCACAGACACGCGGGUGGGCGGCCACAGAGUCCAGGGCAGGUGCAGAGGGUCAGGACUGCGGUGGAUCCAGGUCAGCGCCCACUGAGCUAGCUGCUGGGCUGGGACCUCGGGGACUCCCUGACGGGCUUAAACGUGUCUGGCCCAGCACUGGUGGGGGGUGAACAUCAGCUCAAACAAUUCUUAUCUUAAAUAAAACCCAUCUGUACAUCAAAAAUUAUUUUAAAAGACCUAAAAGGUAAACAAAGUGAAACAACUGAUAAAUGCACUGGAGCUGGAGGGCUCAAAUUCUGAAACAGAGAAAGCUUUAGCAAGUCUACAGUAAAAUGAUUUACAAUCUACUUUAUAAAAGUUGGGCAGAAGAAAUGAUUGGAAAAUUAACAAGAGAAAAAGUGUUUGCAGAUACAUGAAUGACCGUUCCACUCGGUCAGCAGCAGCAGGGCUGCCUGGAGGGGUGCGGCCCAGGAGGUGGGCGGGCGCCCUGGCCGCUCGGUCCCCUAUGUCCCCGGAGCCCCCACCCCCCGAAACCUCGCAAGGCCGUGCCCAGGGACCAGCUGGACCUGCUCUGAGUUACAGCUCGAGGACCUGGUGAAAGAGCUGAGCUGGGUGCAUCCAGACCUCUCUUUCAGCCUCCUGCUCAGCCAGCAGCUCCAGGAACUCCGCCCGGGACGGAGCUCUGAGCAGCCCCCCAGCACUCGAGCAGAAAACUGAUGACGGAAACCCAGCGGGGGUUGUUCUUCCUCCACUGGGAUGUCUCUUUAGAAGGUGUGAGAUGGUGUGAUAACUGGAAAAGCACUUGUGAUUGGAAGUCAAUUGGAUUUCUGAAAGUACAGUAUGAGGUUUCAUAUCCCAAGUGCUGCCAAACAGUGCAAACUUCAGGACAAAAAAAGACUAGAGAGAGACACCCCGGAACCUCCACACGGUUGAUGCUUGCUUGGUAAUUAUGGUUACGGUUUUGUUUUUGCUUUUCUUUCAUGUUUUCUUGUAGUUACCAAAUGCUGUACACAGAUGGGAAACUGGAAAGACAUACACACUUACUUUUCCUCUCUGACUGCAGGGAAGCGCUGGUGAUUGUACUGACUUAAACGUUUAUAGGUCUCCUUCAGAAUUUUGUUGACAUCUUCAGGUAAAUCAUUUUGAUCCAGCUUUCUAGAAUGGAGAUUAAUCAAAUAUUAAAUAACCAAAAGAUCCUGUCAUAUUUCUUUAAAUUAUUCUAAAACCAAUUUAGUCUAUGAACUUGUGUCCUCCGCGAACAGAAGGCCUAGGUAACACCUCCUGCUUUCUCUCCACCGGUCUCCUGGUGACCCCUCACAGCUCCUCUGCCCGCACCCUAGGCCAGCCUCUGUCUUCCUCUGUCACUAAGAAGGAGCCCUGAGGAAACUAUGCACAAGCCAUGCACCCAGACCCAGUCCCACACCAACAGCCCACCUGGAAGGGAGGUGGGGUCCUUCCCAUCGGCUGGAUCCAACCCAGACCAGCUUCUGCCUCCCUCUGGAGAGCUGUCCUCCCCACUCACACGCACCCGGACGUCCCCACUCACACACACCGGGACCUCCGCACUCACACGCACCGGGACCUCCCCACUCACACGCACCCGGACCUCCCCACUCACACGCACCGGGACCUCCCCACUCACACGCACCGGGACCUCCCCACUCACACACCGGGACCUCCCCACUCACACACUGGGAUCUCCUCACUGGUUGGGAGCCGCUGGGAUGCACCCAGUCCGUGACAAGGUCAUGGGACGAGAGAGGAACCUGCAAGGCAGCUCUUCCUCACACGGGGCUGCCCCGGGGGCCCAAUGUGUCCCCUCCGGAGCCACCGGGACGAGAAAGGAACCUGCAAGGCAGCUCUUCCCCUCGAGGUUGUCCCGGGGGCCCGAAGCGCUCUCGUCACUCCCUGACCCCUACACCAGACAGAGGCGCCGCUCAUCAGGAGCCCGGCGCAUCCCUGCCUCCCGAGGAGACGCCCUGCCGGUCUUUGUCCUGAGUGAUCACAACUGUCAGGCACGGACGCAGGAUUCAAAGCCUCUUCCCCUCAGGCCCCCAAAGCUCUGUGCUCCAGCGCCCUCCAGAAGGCCAGGCGCCCCAUAGUGCAGAAGCCGGAGGAGACAUCCUUCACUGGAGGAAACAUCAAGAAAAACUGUACUUGAACUUUGUUGGAAGGGACCUGACUACUGCAAACUCUACAAUUACAGUAAAAAUCUAUAAACUAUUAGCCAAGGGGGCAGCCUCGGACAGUUCACUAGCCAAACAGGAAGCAGUAUAUGUCAAUUCAUCACGUGCCUGUGUCAACAGCUCAGAAAAAAUGGAACUGCAGUUACUUGGCUUGGAAAAGUCAAACCUGAAUCUUACCAUAAUUUAAACAAUUAGCAUAAUUAAUUAUUCGGUUGAUUGAUUACAAUAAUUGGUUAAUUUGGGGCCUAUGGAGCAUGGCCUCAGUAUUACCCUGCCAGGCUUCUUGGGUUUGUACAUUUAUGUUUUUCAUCAAGC